CACUUGAGUCUAUAUCUACCUCACUCCUCCCUCAACCACCCCCUUAACCCUCGAUAUUAACCUUCUUUCUUUAUAUUUUUCUCUUCCCUCAACGACUCCUACGUUAAACUCUUUCAGCCUUGUUCACCAGUGUUUCCAUGCUCGGACGAACAUAUUGCGAAGAAAAAGUUCGCAAUUGCUCGUUUACGAAUCGCUGUUUUGUCGGGAAACUUUUUUGGUCAUCGAGUCUCGAUCGUCUUCGCCGAAUUAUAAAGGUUCUAGCGUGACCAGCAAAUCAGGCGUUCGCUGUAACACGGUGCAUUGCCGCGGGUAAAAGAUUACCCGGUUUUAUUCCCUAGCCUUAGAGCUAUAGGCUCGAUAAAGUAUUACGGAUGCUACUUCUCUGCACAGCAAAAUAUACGUCUGAUGAGAUUAAUGUUACGGUCAAUAAUCGUCGAUCAAAUAUAUCCAGGACUUGAUCCACUUGGAGACUGCCACAGCACAACAAAGAUCAAUCGAACGCUCACCGAACAGUGAACAUGCAGAUUGGCAUACACACAAAGCCUGCGAUUGAGACGUUUUGAAGCGCGGCCAGCAGCCACAAUGACUCUUCGGACUGGUCCACGGUUAGCAGCCCCGUGGCACACAACGGGACUCCUUGUUACACUCAGCGGAGACUGGACUCGGCUCCACUCAGUCGGCAGGAGAAAAAAAUCAACGAAAACAAAAAAUACAAAAAGGAAGCAGCCAACAGUCGAACCAGGACUGCUGCUUCAAGGGUUCAGUCAAUCGUGAUUCUUUUGAAACGAAAGUAAAAAAAUAAUUUAAAAAAAAAAACAAAAAUUUCAAAAGAUAAUUUAUCAUUUGUUUUAUAUAGAUUCGCAUAUUUCCAAAAAAUAUAAUUCGAGAAACGCGACUGUUCUGUAAUUCGCCACAAUCAUUCCGAGUAAUUUUGAAAAAAUCAAUUUCUUUGGUAAUCGUUCGAAUUGCUAGCAAAUUAUUUAUAAAAAAAUGUCUCGCUCAAGAUUCAAUUGUGAAAGCUCGCAACCAACCUAUUUCUGUACACCUUCGAAUUACGAAAUUUGGAAGAAAGUUCAACGACGACGUGAUGGAAAUAAAAAUUGUUUGAGGAAAAUUGGCAAA